rnacentral:rRNA from 2 species
UGGGGAAUAUUGGACAAUGGGCGAAAGCCUGAUCCAGCCAUGCCGCGUGUGUGAAGAAGGUCUUAGGAUUGUAAAGCACUUUAAGUUGGGAGGAAGGGCUGUUACCUAAUACGUGACAAUCUUGACGUUACCAACAGAAUAAGCACCGGCUAACUCUGUGCCAGCAGCCGCGGUAAUACAGAGGGUGCAAGCGUUAAUCGGAAUUACUGGGCGUAAAGCGCGCGUAGGUGGUUCAGUAAGAUGGAAGUGAAAUCCCCGGGCUCAACCUGGGAACUGCUUUCAUAACUGCUGAGCUAGAGUACGGUAGAGGGUAGUGGAAUUUCCUGUGUAGCGGUGAAAUGCGUAGAUAUAGGAAGGAACACCAGUGGCGAAGGCGACUACCUGGACUGGUACUGACACUGAGGUGCGAAAGCGUGGGGAGCAAACAGG